ACACAUGUGUAUUGGACUCUCUUUUGAAUGCAUAAAAAAUAAAGAGCUUAGUGUAAUCCCUAAUGGGGCGUGUGUUGGUUUUUCAUGCCUGUUUGUGAACUGUAGUUGUGGUUUCCCAUUUCAUUGCCAUAACUGGGCAGAAAUAGUUUUUAAGUGCUAUAAAAAUACAAAGAAAUGGUUAAGCAAUUAAAAAAUUCAUUUUACAUUAAUAUUUUUCAGAAAGCUUUCAUUAUAUAUCACAUUCAUU
rnacentral:lncRNA from 1 species